rnacentral:rRNA from 1 species
AUACCCUAUUAUUUUGAGUGUUAAUUUUGCUUACCUGGGUACUAUUAGUUAAGAUCUUUAAACCCAAAGAAUUUGGCGGUACCUUAUUCCAUUCAGAGGAACCUACCCCGUAAUUGAUAAUACACGAUUGACUUUACUUAAUUUAUUUGUUUGUAUAUCUCCGUUAUCAGAAAAUCUUAUUGGAGUUAUAAUUUUCUUGAUUUAUAAUUAUAAAAUAUUUCAGGUCAAGGUGCAGCUUAUAAUUAAGAGGAGGUGGGUUACAAUAAAUUUUUGUUUAUUAUGGAUUUAAUGGUGAAAUACUAUUAAUGAAGGUGGAUUUGAUAGUAAUUUAAUUUAUUUAAUUUAAUUGAUAUUGGCUCUAAGGUGUGUACACAUCGCCCGUCGCUCUCA